UUAAUUGAAGAGUUUGAUCAUGGCUCAGAUUGAACGCUGGCGGCAGGCCUAACACAUGCAAGUCGAGCGGCAGCGGGGGGAAGCUUGCUUCCCCGCCGGCGAGCGGCGGACGGGUGAGUAAUGUCUGGGAAACUGCCUGAUGGAGGGGGAUAACUACUGGAAACGGUGGCUAAUACCGCAUAACGUCGCAAGACCAAAGAGGGGGACCUUCGGGCCUCUUGCCAUCAGAUGUGCCCAGAUGGGAUUAGCUAGUAGGUGGGGUAAUGGCUCACCUAGGCGACGAUCCCUAGCUGGUCUGAGAGGAUGACCAGCCACACUGGAACUGAGACACGGUCCAGACUCCUACGGGAGGCAGCAGUGGGGAAUAUUGCACAAUGGGCGCAAGCCUGAUGCAGCCAUGCCGCGUGUAUGAAGAAGGCCUUCGGGUUGUAAAGUACUUUCAGCGGGGAGGAAGGUG
rnacentral:rRNA from 1 species